AGCAAGCGAGCGAGCGUGUCCUCCUUCCGCCUCCCUCUCUUCCGUCGUCCGCACUGGGCUGGGGCGGCGGCGCCUGAGCGGUUCCCUCGCGAGCCUGUGCGGACCUAGCCGCUGGAGAAGAGGAGGAGCAGCCCGGGCGGGGCGGAGACGCUUGCGGGCUCCUCUCAGUCACUUCAGCCAAUCAACAGCCAGAACCGAUGGUUGCGUAGUGUCCCCACCCCCUCGGGCACGCCUCUCUUCGAUAAGCCACGCCCAACUGCCCUCCAGCCGCCUUCCCUUUCGGCGGUUUCCGCGCGGUCCUAAUGUGUGGUGGCUGACCGCGGGCUGGGGUGGGGAAGGACGCGGUAGGACUGUAGGAGAUGGCUAGGUGUGCUAGAGCGCGGCAAGGCGCUGCUGAGACCCGCGUGUGCGGAGGGAAGUGGGGAACUGCCCCUUUUCCAAGGGCCUGAACACAGCUUUUGACUACUGACUGUCCUGUUCUGCCUUCCUCUUCGCGUGGGCCACCGCCCCACAGCGCCGCUGGGUUCCCUUCGCGGCCGCAUGGUACGCGUCCCGGGAGCGAAGCUUCCCCUGGGGGGAGCGCGCUAACCUGAGCUCCUUCGGUGCACCGCCCUGCCGACUGUCUGGAAGUCAGCAAUGGGAUAUUCCCACCACAACUUUACCGGGAUCUCUGGGUUGACUCUCUGGGUUGAGGAUCGGGGAGCUGGGUCGGGAGGCUGGCUUGUGGCUGUGGUUGAGGGGCCCGGACGCCUCGAAAGCAGGAGGGUGCCCAGGCGAAGUGCAGGCUGCACCAUGCAAUCUUCCGGGCGCAGAGGCGACCCAACCCGACCUGAGGGAGAUCCACGGGCUCUGGGCCGAGGGGAGACGCAGUGGAAUGAACUGAACUGCUGGUCCACAAGAACAGUUUUUCUAUCAAAGGAUACCAUCAAAUUCUGGAGAAGUUCUACAAAUCAUAAUCUAUUUCCCUUUUUCCAGAAAGGCAACUUGAUUCGGGGGGAUAUGGCAGCUUCCACUCUGAGGUGCCCUUACUUCAAAUCAGGCCCAGCCCAAGAUCGUGUUUUCCCUAAGCUGGGCUCAUCAUCAGAGAGGUGGGGGCCGGGCCAAAUCUUAAAGAGCCACUUGGCGACUCUAACGACUGGCAAAGAGGAAAGAAAUUGGAAUUCUAGUAGCAUGUAUCCAACUGUUUCAAACCUCCACCUGCUACAUGGGCGUGGCUUCUGAGAUCGACAUGCUUCCAACAGCUUAUACAGAGUGAACGGCAGAUGCGUCCUUUGGGGGUGAUCUCAGGGACGUCAGAAAGUCCCUGCCU
rnacentral:lncRNA from 1 species